rnacentral:rRNA from 1 species
UACGGAGGGGACUAGCGUUGUUCGGAAUUACUGGGCGUAAAGCGCACGUAGGCGGCUUUGUAAGUCAGGGGUGAAAUCCCGGGGCUCAACCUCGGAACUGCCUUUGAUACUGCAAAUCUCGAGUCCGGAAGAGGUGAGUGGAAUUCCUAGUGUAGAGGUGAAAUUCGUAGAUAUUCGGAAGAACACCAGUGGCGAAGGCGACUAACUGGACAUGUAUUGACGCUGAGACGCGAAAGCGUGGGGAGCGAACAGG